GCUAGAAGAUGACGAGUGGCGGACGGGUGAGUCAUGCUUGGGAACUUGCCUUUGGGAGGGGGAUAACUGUUGGAAACGACUGCUAAUACCGCAUAAUGUCUUCGGACCAAACGGGGCUUCGGCUCCGGCGCAAAGAGAGGUCCAAGUGAGAUUAUCUAGUUGGUAAGGUAACGGCUUACCAGGGCGACUAUCUCUAGCUGUUCUGAGAAGAAGAUCACCCACACUGGGACUGAGACACGGCCCACACUCCUACGGGAGGCAGCAGUGGGGAAUAUUGCACAAUGGGGGAAACCCUGAUGCACCCGUGCCGCGUGUGUGAAGAACGCCUUCGGGUUGUAAAGCACUUUCAGUUGUGAGGAAAAGUUAAUAUUUAAUACCUGCUAGCCGUGACGUUAACAACAAAAGAAGCACCGGCUAACUCCGUGCCAGCAGCCGCGGUAAUACGGAGGGUGCGAGCGUUAAUCGGAAUUACUGGGCGUAAAGCGCACGCAGGCGGUUUGUUAA
rnacentral:rRNA from 1 species